GUUCUCAUUUCAGCAGCUCAUACUAAAAUUAGAAUGACACAGAGAAGAUAGGCAUGACCUCUUUAUAAGGAUGACAUGCACAUUUGUGAAGCAUUUAUAUUAAAU
rnacentral:snRNA from 1 species